rnacentral:misc_RNA from 1 species
GAUGAAGAACGUAGCGAAAUGCGAUAAGUAGUGUGAAUUGCAGAAUUCAGUGAAUCAUCGAAUCUUUGAACGCACAUUGCGCCCUUCGGUAUUCCGUUGGGCAUGCCUGUUCGAGCGUCAUUUAAACCUUCAAGCUCUGCUUGGUGUUGGGUGCUUGUUCCGCCUGCGCGCGCGGACUCGCCUCAAAUUCAUUGGCAGCCGGUAUGUUGGCUUCGUGCACAGCACAUUGUGUCGCGACUCCAGCCUGCCUCCUUCCAUCAAGCCCCCCUAUUACUUUGGCCUCGGAUCAGGUAGGGAUACCCGCUGAACUUAAGCAUAUCAAUAAGCGGAGGA